CAUUCCGAACACGGCAGUUAAGCUCUUCAGCGCCGAUGGUAGUUGGGGGUUUCCCCCUGUGAGAGUAGGACGCCGCCAAGC
rnacentral:rRNA from 1 species